rnacentral:lncRNA from 1 species
UUGAAAACAUAAGUUAAUAACUCUGCUUUAAACAACUUGAAUUCUAAUUCCCUUCCACGAUAAGGAUGCAUUGAUACCACCCCAAACACUAUUCAUUUAGUCCUUGUAAAAAAUUCUACAAAUUCUUCCAAAGAUGGAAUAAGUUAAUAAUGCCAGUCAAGUUGUAUUAUUACAAAAACAAGAGGGCAACAGAGAUGGAGGAAAGCGAAAAGGGGAAACCGGGAAAGCUGGAGCAGUGUUUUCUCCCCUAAUGUAGACAGAGGUUGGGAUACUUGUGGUUAUACUAGGAAUUUACAAUGAAAUUUAAGCGUCUUCAACUUUCAAAUUCCGUUAUCCCAUCUAUCAUAGGCAACGGUGCGGAGUCUAAUCUUCUAAAGACUUCAGGUACUCCAGCAGUAUCCCUUGUUAUCUGCAUUCACCGUGCCCAAAUGUCAUGAAAUGUGAUGAGCAAGAUGAAUAUGCUAUGUUAGAACAGGAAUAAGAGUUCAUGAGUCAAAAUGUCAGUCCUUCGAUUCAAUAACUUAUUGGCCAAGGAUAAAAAAUCUUCUCUUUAGAUACUUAAAAAAAAUUUUCCAGAGAAAUUCGCAGGGAAAACUACAUUCCUCAAGAGUGCAUGUUUACCUCUAUUCUAUACCAAAAACUCACAGAAUAUCAAUUUCUUGUCCUCUAAUAUCCUAAGUACGCACCAGCUAUCUGCAACUUGUCAUUGAAGUAUUGACAAAUCUCCAAAAAGACGUGAUUCACAAAUAUGGACACGAUUAACGAGCUGUUUCAAAGAUUUGUGAAUACCUUUUAAACUGCUUAAUUAUUAAUAACAACGGUUAAGACUUACCAGGAUAUCUUCGUCGAGAUAAGAAAUCAAGAAAAGCCUCUGAAAUGUUCCGCCUGAAGUCAAAACAGAGUGACUGAGAAUAGGUGCAAUAGACAAGUGCACAAUCAAAUCGAAAAAUCUAUCCUCAACAUUCCAUAUAUUUCCACAUUUCCUUCAAGUAAAGUUACCAUAAUAUUACCUUCUAAAAGUUACGAUCUUUUCACAUUAUGGACAAGUCAAUUUUACUAUAUGACACUCUAUUCAAUGUAUAGAUUGACUUGAGCGACACAGGACCACCUUAGCUCCACUUAGACGAUUUGUCACUCUGUUGCCACCCCAAGUCACAAAGCCACAUCGAGAUUUUGGCACAUUUGAAGUGUUAAUAGAUUUUGACACCAACAGUAAUAAUGCAUGGUACAUAAUUAAAACAUACAUGGACUUGUCCUGAUGGAAGAAAGUUAACUAUUUAUUAUUAUUAUUUUUUUUAACACUUGUGGAAGGAACAAAAUGAAAAAGGCAAAUCAGGAAUGCUCACCGAGAGGAAUCCUGACUCCACUGACUAUAGCAUCCCUGAUAGAAACAGGAAGUUGCUGAACUGUGCUAGCUGCCUGAACAAGAACACUCUUCAGUUGUUGAGGUAUAAAAGAAAUACUGUGACUUUUUUUUGAAAAAAGUGAUAGAAUGCCACUUUUUCAUAUUAUCUUUUUGCCAAACACUUUGCAAGCAUCAAUGUAAUUAAUUCAAAACUAAUUUUUCAUACACAAUCCACUCAACUUCAACAAUCCACUCAACUUCAACAAUUUUAUUUUCAUAAAUGUUAAUUCAAACAAAAACGAGAUGGAUAAUGAGUUAUAAUCAUGGAAUCCAAAACAUAGAAAUACCUGUAAUUUUUUUUGUGUUUUCGUUGCUGAUCUGCUCGACUUUUUUUUUUCAGAUUUUUCAAUGUUUUUGUGGAUGGUUUCCUCGAUUUGAAGAAUGAACAAACUUUGUUUAUGUAUUUGUGGAAGAUUUCCUCUUUUUCCUUUCAAUUUUCCUUCGAUUUUUGCACACUGGAGGCUGAUUUAUGAGGAUUGACGUGAGUUUAGGUUUUGAACGUAUAUUUUACGUUCAAUUUAAGGUAAUUGCCAUUUAAUCCAAGUUUAUAAUGAUUUUUUCAAAACAACCCAAAAAUAUAGGGUACUUUUGUAAGUACCCCAACAAAUAUUUUGGUGGAAAUUUUUGAUUUUGCGCCGACUUACAAUGACUAAUUUUAAUUUGGUCGUAGAAAAUAUAGAAAUAACAACUAUAUUUUUGGUCGUUAUAUGAUAUUUCCAACUAAUUCAAAAUUUGAUUGUUUGUCAUCCAUUUUUUACGACCAAGCUUAUAAUUUCGUCGUUGAAAAUAUUUAUUAACGACUAGAUUGAUUUGGUCGUUAAAACAUUAGUUGUUAAAUGUCAUUUUUCCUGUAGUGGUUCCACGUACAAGCUCGUGCUCAGAUCAUCUGAUGGAUCAGGUUGAGAUCGACGAUGAACUAGUCAAGUGACUUGACUCGACCCAUUUAACAUCCAAUGCUUAUAACUUUGUGAAUUUUGAAUUAUGUAAUCAUGAUUUAUAUGGGCUAAUGGACUUUAACGUUUGAUGAGGAUCUGGACACUGAUCCAACAAUUAGAAUCGUCUCGGAUAGGGAUUAAAAUUAGUUUUUAAAUAGAUUUGGAUAGAAUUUGAUGAAAUAUAUGGUUGAAAAGUUGUGAGACUCAUAAAAUAUGGGAUUAAAAAUAAUUGUUGACUUUGACUUAAAUUAAAAAAUCUAAAUUUUAAUUACUGGGCUAAAAAUGGUAAAUAAUAUGACACAUUUAUCUAUUUAGAAUUUGUAUUUAGCAGAACUUAAUUAUUAACGGUCAAAUGGAACAAAUACAUAUAUAAGAAUUAAUAUCAAAUUAGAGAAAGAAGUAUGUUGUUAUAAGCAUAUCUAGUGCUCGAUCUUCACUUAGACUAGACUCGAAUUUGGACAAGAAGCAUUUGCUAUUUGCAAUCAAAGUAAGAAUGAUUGAACUUCAAUAACAAAGUCUAGUCCAAUCGAUCAAAAGGAAGUUGCUUUAAGUAAAUCCAUGAUACACACUCAUUUAUGCAUUGCCAGGUUACGUAGAAACGAAAAUCGUGAACACGUCGAAACGCUACGAGAAACUGGGGUCAGUGACUCUCUCCUAUUUUUGAAGUUUUCUUCCUAUACAAUCAUAAACAAAGCUUUCUUCCCCUCAGCUACAUAAAUAAACAUGAUGCUCUUCUGUUUCAAAGAAUAAUACACCCUUCAAUCAAAUUACCCCCCGCACCUCUCUACGUGCAAGCCAAUAUGUUUUUAGAAUCGCUACUUCUUAAACUUUAUGCACAAGAUUGAAGGGGCCACACUUCAUUGAGUGGUUUUUUUUCAGAAUUUGAGGGGUUCCUGAAAGAGAUUAACCAGUUUCCAUUGGUAGGUCUUCAAGUGGAUGUCUAUGGAGAAUCCUAUGUCAACUUUAGAGUGAAGUGAUGUGGAUUAAUUAUUCACUUUUUUAAUUUAAUUUUUUGAGUUUUAGUAUCGGACUAGUUCUCCUUCUAACCUUACUCCAUUUGGAUAUUCUAACCGACUCAAUUAUUUACAAUUUUUUUUUUCUAUCUUCUUUCAGUUGGACUUUUGCACUUAUGUUUUGUUUCUAUCUUUUGUUUGAUAUAGUUUGUUUUGACUUUUUCUUUUUUAAAUAUUUUUCGAUUGCAAUAAAAAGAAAAGAAAAGAAUAUAGUUACCAAGAUGAUCUUCUAUUUCCCUUACAUGGCAAGUAAUGGACAUACCAAUUCAACAUGUAGUCAUCAUUAGAGACUAAGCCCCUGUUUGUUUGCCAUUAUUUGACGAUUAAAAUGAAUUAUAUGACUGUUAUCUAUUACAUCAAGUUACCAUAUUUAAAUUUCUAUCUCUUGUGUAAAGUCUAUAAUGACUAUAUUUUUUUAUUCUCGUUCUUACAUUAAUGAAAAACAAACGGAGCCUAACUGACAAAAACAAAAGGUUCCAAAAGUUUAUCAUAUUUGAAACAUGUAGACAAAAAAUAUUUGAUAUGAUGGUUGAAUGCGGAAGGCCAUCUUGUCUGCCCAAGGUAAACACCCUACAUGUGUCACCUACUUAGGCUUUGGCUAAUUAAAUCGCUCACGACUAGGCAAACUAAGGAUUGUGAUAAGGCAUGCUUGGAAAAAUAUCAAGUCUACUUAACUAAGGUCGAUCUGAGAGCCAAAUUAUCAUCAUAGACAAAAUAUUUGAUCGAGUUAAAGUUCCCGCAAGAUCUUAAACUAGUAUUGACUUGUUUAAGAGAACAUGCAGCUAGCCUUCUAAAUUGAAAGUACUUGGCCAGGGGAGUCAGAGACCAGGACAAAGGCGAUGGCCUAAAGCAUCGAAAGGUGAGGACACCGAGAAGAAACCAAGUUUGAGGCGACCGAGAACAGUGGGCUCAAGAUCAGGAACCGAAGUGGACCGAGAAGAAGAAGGCUUCAUCUGACAUAUAGUACUGGAUAUGGCAGCCAAGUCAAGACAUGACUGAAAAAAAUAGAUGCAUUCACCUACAUAAAAGAAAAAGGCAUAGCCAAGUUUGAGACUAAGAUAUGCAAGUAAUAUUGACUUGGGCACAACCUUAAAUCUAUGGUUAAGAAAGUGUUUUAUUCAUUGGCCAUUAAUUAUAAUCCGAAAUCUAAUUAUUUGAUGAUAAUUAACCCAAGAAUGUUGAAAACAUAAGUUAAUAACUCUGCUUUAAACAACUUGAAUUCUAAUUCCCUUCCACGAUAAGGAUGCAUUGAUACCACCCCAAACAUAUUCAUUUAGUCCUUGUAAAAAAUUCUACAAAUUCUUCCAAAGAUGGAAUAAGUUAAUAAUGCCAGUCAAGUUGUAUUAUUACAAAAACAAGAGGGCAACAGAGAUGGAGGAAAGCGAAAAGGGGAAACCGGGAAAGCUGGAGCAGUGUUUUCUCCCCUAAUGUAGACAGAGGUUGGGAUACUUGUGGUUAUACUAGGAAUUUACAAUGAAAUUUAAGCGUCUUCAACUUUCAAAUUCCGUUAUCCCAUCUAUCAUAGGCAACGGUGCGGAGUCUAAUCUUCUAAAGACUUCAGGUACUCCAGCAGUAUCCCUUGUUAUCUGCAUUCACCGUGCCCAAAUGUCAUGAAAUGUGAUGAGCAAGAUGAAUAUGCUAUGUUAGAACAGGAAUAAGAGUUCAUGAGUCAAAAUGUCAGUCCUUCGAUUCAAUAACUUAUUGGCCAAGGAUAAAAAAUCUUCUCUUUAGAUACUUAAAAAAAAUUUUCCAGAGAAAUUCGCAGGGAAAACUACAUUCCUCAAGAGUGCAUGUUUACCU